rnacentral:rRNA from 1 species
UAACCUGCCCAAGAGAUCGGGAUAACACCUGGAAACAGAUGCUAAUACCGGAUAACAACAGAUGAUGCCUAUCAACUGUUUAAAAGAUGGUUCUGCUAUCACUCUUGGAUGGACCUGCGGUGCAUUAGCUAGUUGGUAGGGUAACGGCCUACCAAGGCGAUGAUGCAUAGUCGAGUCGAGAGACUGAUCGGCCACAUUGGGACUGAGACACGGCCCAAACUCCUACGGGAGGCAGCAGCC